rnacentral:rRNA from 1 species
GUUGACCUCGAAUCAGGUAGGACUACCCGCUGAACU